GCACAUUAUAGGUAAAGAUAUAGGUAAAUAAUACAAGGAAAAAAUAUGUAGCUUAAUAAAAGCAAUACUGAGUAUUGCCUGACCCAGUCUGACCUGAGUUUAAAAAUGUACUGUUUAAUUUACAUGGACUGUCUUUUCAGCUGGUAAAGAUUCACCCAGGCUAAAGCAAUUAAUAUUCUCCAUACAAUGUAAACACUAUCUGAAAACAUUAUUGUCUUAGUUAUAUCUCAGUUUGCAUUCAGACCGUGAUGAUACCAAACCUGUUUUUCAUUCAUGUUUUUAAAAAUACUGAAUAUAGACAAGCAAAUUCAUGCUUGCUAUUUAUGAUUUUAUGCUCUUGUAGUUCUCUUCCAAUCUGUAAGGACCUAUAGAGUCUUCUCAUAAAUCCAUUGGAACUUCAAUGUCCAGUGCCAUAUUAGAUACUGUAUGUGUCUCCCUGCUGAAUUUCUCCUUGCUAAAUAACAUGAUAGAGAUUUUAAAUCAUUUAGAUCUAUGAAAAGUCUGAGUGAUGAAAAGAGUCAGGUUGGAUAAAUGAACUUUGUCUGUGGGAAAAACAUGCUAGUGAUCAGUUUUCUCAGCCUCAAACUGUACUUCUUCAUUACUAGAAGGCUAUUUUGGGUAAAUUUUCUACCAUACUUGAAAGGGGAUCUCUGUUCUGUUAUAGAUGAUGUAUGGGUCCUUCCUGGGAAUGAAGGCAAGGGAUAUUGUGUUUGGGGUUUAUCAGUGAUUACUACACAGGUUAGAUAGACAGCUGCCUGUCACAAGUCAACAUCAAUGUGAGGAUCCACCCACAUAACUAAAUAUGUAUAAAGCUCUUGGUCUAUGAGUCAUAGUUUUACUUACUAUAGUACUGAACUGAGGAAAACAGGCAGUAAGGCUUUGAUGAAUGCUCACCUUCAUGUCCUACAGAAAUUCUCCUACAUAAAUAUUUUAUUUAGUUGAAAUUAAAAAAAAAAAACGUAUUAUAUUUUUUCUACUGUUCUGUACAAAUGGUAUUUGGACUGUAAAAUAUUGACUGCAAAUUCACAUCUGGCUAAGCUCAACAUUUGUCUUUGUGUGCUUCAUUUUAUUUUUUCUUUAAAGGAUUUUGGGUUUGAGGGUAAGAAUGAUAAAGUGCUGACAUUUAUAAGAACAUUUCAUUAUUAUUGUUUGUAUUUGAUAAAAAUAUAUGAUUGAACUUUACAAAUAAAAUCCUGUCUUCCUUGAGCAACUCCGGUUUAUAAUGGGAAGACUGACAUACCAUUUUCUGCAGUGUUCUUAUUAUUUUGAGGAAAAAAAAAUCAGAUAAAAUUCCAGUUCAAGAUAUUUUUCGUUUCAGUAACGAGCAGAGAAAAAAGAUCAACUACAGGUAAACUAUAAUCAUGGUAUAAGAACUCAGAAAUGAAUUCUUUUAAAAUACAUAUUGACACCACGCUAGCCAUUGCUCAUCUGUUGGUAGUGAUUGAUACAUGCUAGUUUGGCUAAAUGAAAGCCACCUAUGCCUCAACUUCUUCUACUUAGAGUAAGUGUCAUAAAGACAUUAAGAGUACAGAAUGUAUACCUUUGAAUCUGGAAAUGCCCCUUUUUUGAGAACAAUGCAAGAAGAGUCAUUCCCAGUGUUAAAGUUGUAGAAGGACCACUGCAAGGACAGAAGGGACAAACAGUGAGCCUUGGUGGCAACAUGCAAAAUGCACGACUUCAACUCAGCUUUACCACAGAGUCAGGUAAGAUAAAAUAGGAUAUGAAAAAACUAAUAAGAAUCCAUGAAGAUUCCACUAAUGUAAAUGUCAAUAAUAGAAUGAUAUUCUUAUAGAUAUAUUUAUGUGGAUAACACAAAAGAUGGAUGGGGAUAUGCAAAAGAUGUACUGGAAUAUCUGCCCAGAUGAAUGCAGCCAACAUGCUGACACAAACUUUUUAGAGCGUUGUCACUCACCCAUUGCUUGUGUCAACUCUUCCUUCCAGAUUGGGAAGCUUCCACAGCAUAUUCUGAUCCAUGGUGUGGAAUAGGCUUCUUAGGCCAGUGUGGCUGCAACUGGCAAAGAGCAGCCUUCUUCAGAGUUUUAGAAUGAUAGAUAUCAAAAGUCAUACCAACCUGUUUUCCAGAAGAUGGUGUGCAGCAGGGAUUGUUCUAUCUGAGCUGCUAAGGUUUUUCAUUAGCCCAGAAGAGAGAAAGUAACCCGAAGGCCUUGCGCCCAACUUGCAACUGAGUAACCUAUGCUGACAUAGAUAUAAUUGCAAAUCAGAAUUUGGCCUAAAACCUC
ensembl:lncRNA